ensembl:antisense Mccc1os methylcrotonoyl-Coenzyme A carboxylase 1 (alpha), opposite strand
AACUCGACCAAGGUCACAGGUAAGCUGGGAACCCAACCUUCUGCAGGCAGUUCUUGCCCUUGGGCCAGUACGUUUUUCAGAAUGCGAGGAGGUGAUGAUUAUGAUGAAGUAAUCUAUCUACAUGACUUGGGGUUUUCACUGUUGUCAAAGCGUGGAGCUUCAUUUCCAAAAGGAUCCGGGGUAGUCAUCUGCCAGCUUUGUUCAAACUUGUGAACAAGAGCGUUCGACAAAACUCACCCCUCAUUAAUUUGACUCUUCCCAGCAAUGGGAAAGGUCUCUAGAAAUCCUUCUCUGAACUGCACUCAAAAUGAGGGAGCUAUGAAAGCGACUUUGGGAAAGGGGUCCUGGUGCAAGCCUCUAGCUACGUAUGCCAUCUUCGGUUGCAGCACCGUGCGGGGUGCCCAGAUCAGAAACCAGCCAAGGUGGCAGAGUCUGUAGGAAGAGCCAAAGACUGAAGUGGGACAGCGCCUACCAAAACUACACACAGGCACUUAAAGGGCUGCUCUCACGUGACCCAGCGCCUCGCAUCCGGGCCGCGCACGGACCCGCAGUACCCCUGAGUCACCUCGGCUGCAGCAGCAGGAUCGGGACCCGUCGCAACUGGUUCCUGUCCACCGCAGCCAACAACGCCGCCGCCGCCAUCUCCGCGCUGUUCUGCUGGAUUCCAAAAGCUGCUUGGCUUAUUCUUGAAAGCGUCCCUCCCUGCGCAAGCUUCUUGUCCCCGAUCCGCCACCGUAGCUCCCAAGAGCAAGUAGGCGUCUCCGCAAGAGCCAAUCACAAAACUGGGUGUUUCAAGCUAGAUUGUCCUUGCUGCGUGAGACCCACCUGCUACAGUUGAGAAAGAAUGGAGCGAGGCCAGCUCAAUAUCACAGAUGCUGGAAGGCUGCCAAGCCACUCACAGACUUGACUUCAAUUUCCAUUGGAAAGCACACAGAGAAGACAGUAGCUGACCACAUCUGAGCUAGUGCCCUUUGCAGUGGGCUGAGCCCGGCUACUGCCUAAGCAGAAAUUCAACUCAACAAGGCAAACUGAGACAAGUGAGUAGACAUACAACAAACAAGAGUGUGCCUGAUAAAGUCCUGCACACAAAUACCCCAACCAAACCUCCCCGAAAACAGUGCCACUAACUGGGAAACAAAUGGUCAAGUAUGGGGGAACAUUUCUUAUUCAAAACAUUGUCAAUUGGUGAAUAUGGGUUAUUGAAAUCGCCCACUUUUACUGUGUUUGGAUCAAUCUGUGGUUUUAGAUCUACCAGUUCUUCUUUUAUGAAAUGGGGUGGCCCUGUAUUUGAUGUACACGUGUUUAUUAUUGUAGUGUACGGUUGGUAGAUUUCCUUUUUCUUUGAGGAGAAUGAAGAAUCUCUCUGCCUUUGUUUGGGUUUUACUGCUGUGAACAGAUACCAUGAUCAAGGCAACUAUUACAAGGACAACAUUUAAUUGGAGUUGGCUUGCAGGUUCAGAGGUUCAGUCCAUUAUUAUCAAGGUGGGAGCAUGGCAGUGCCCAGUCAGGAAUGGCACUGGAGGAGCUGAGAAUUCAACAUCUUGUUCUGAAGGCAAACAGCUGAAGACUGGCUUCCAGGCAGCUAGGAUGUAGGUCUUAAAGCCCAAGCCCGCAGGGACACACCUGCUCCAACAAGGCCACACCUCCUAAUAGUGUCACUCCCUGGGCCAAGCAUAUACAAACCAUCACAUGCUCCUUACCUCUUUUGGCUAGUUUUGGUUUGAAGUCUGGUUUAUCAGACAUUAGAAUAUAUUUACAAUUUAGUUUCUUUUGUUUUGAAUACUUUUUUUUUGCAUCUUUUACUCUAAAGUGAUGUCUAUUUUGAUAUGAGGCAUGUUUCUUAGAGGCAGAAAAAAAUAGAUCCCAUUUCUUAAUCCAAUCUUUUAAUCAGUCAAUUGCUGUCAUUUUGUUAAUUUUGUAAAGUUUUCUCAUAUCUUGUUGGAUUCCCUGCCAUGACACUGUUUAUUUCAUUUCUGUGACUGCUUGACUGUGUUUAUCCUUCUUUUCAGCAUUCCUUCUGGUCACCCCCUGUAGAGCUGGCUUAGUAGUAGUAAAGUCCUUUUAUCCUUUGUAUGGAAAGAUUUUAUUUUUCCUUCAAUUCUCGGGGAUAGUUUUGCUGAGUAUAGUAGUCUGGGUUGGGUAAUAUUAACUUUUUUCUAAAAAUUGGAAAUGUUCUUCAUUUUCUGCUUUAUGGAAUACUUAAGGAGUAUUAGUGUUAAUUCCUUUUUUUGAAUAUGUGGUAGAAUUUUGAGCUAAAUCCAUCUGGCCCUGAACAUUUUAUUAAUUUAGAGAUUUUUAAGUAUCAUUUGUAACCCACUGGUGCCAUGUUCCUAUCUAAAUUAUUUCUUUUUUUUUUUUAAUCUUGAUUCAGCUCUGUUACCCCAUAUACAUGUGGAAAUUGAUCCAUUUCUUUUAGAUGUUCUGGUUUGAUGGGAUAAAGAUUUUUAAAGUAUGUAAUUACAACUGUCUGUCGGUUGCAAUCUCUCCCCUUUUAUCCCUAAUUUUGUAAAGUUAGAUUAAAAUGUGUUGACAAUAGCUGUUGUACCAGUAUAUUGAGUUGAUAUUUAUACUUUAGAAUGUUCAUGGAUUAAUAAUAAUUGGCAAAUAAGCCAUCACUAAGUUGACAUUUAACUCCACGAAAAGUAUUAACACUUUGUUUCUUUGCUGCCUUAACAACCAACAUUGAAGAAGUCUAAGUGCAUAAAACUCUGUGAUAAAUGUGUUCACCUGUGAUAUUUACUUAAAAAUACAGAUCCAAAUAUAGUUUAAAAUAUUAAAUUUUUACUAAUAAUUGUAAGACCCUCUUUCGGGGACCCCCACUCUAGUCUCAGAAGAGAGAGCGCACCCAAAGAAACACGAGAAUCCUUCUUGCUGUAAACACACGAGGUAGUUUAAUGGCGGAGCUCCUUGUCAAAAUGUAUCGCAGGAGACAGUGGAUUUGACGACAAGGCUCAAAAGCUAGAGGUUUUUAUGGGUUAAAGGGCUUAGGGGUGGGGAAUUCAGCAUAGAGACACACUAUUGGCUUAUUCAAACAUCAGCAGAAAAAUUACAUGUACGUGCAGAUCAGGGNNNNNNNNNNNNNNNNNNNNNNNNNNNNNNNNNNNNNNNNNNNNNNNNNNNNNNNNNNNNNNNNNNNNNNNNNNNNNNNNNNNNNCAGGCAGCCUCUAGGCUCACAAACAACCAGCAAUUUCUGAGUACUUUAUAUGACUUACAGGUCUUAAAAUUUCAUCUUUCUUUCAUAAUCUCUGAUACAAAAAUAUUCUUUAAUGUUUAACCUAUAUAUUGGAAAAUAAUCAAAAAAUUUUAUGAAUAGCCAAGUAACAUAUUAAAGUAAAUUUUAUAUUUCAAAUUACACACACACACACACACACACACACACACACACACACACACACAUAUUUAUAUUAAAAUCUCUACAUGUUCUGAUAGGUUGUCUAGGAAGACUCUAGCUUCAUAGAUGAGUAAACUCUAGAGGAGAAGUUCUACGGAGUCCAGAUUCAGAUUCAUCAGGAACUGCAAAGAAAACAUUCUCUGUGUUAAAGACUUUAUAGUGAAUUGACAAUGAGUUAGUUUUAAAAAAUUAAAAGAAUUCAUCAGUGUUAAUGAAGAUGGACCUAACAUGUCCCACUGGUGCAACAGUGACAUGCCUGCUUUCUGAUUGGAUUUGAGGUCUGUCCAUAGGAGGAAACUGGGUUCCUGGUACUGUAAUCCUGGUCAAAAGCCUGUGGCUGGUAUCUAAGUUAGGGUUACUAGUGCUAAAACAUGAAACAUCAUGACCAAAGCAACUUUGGAAAGGAAAGGGUUUAUUUGGCUUCUACUUCUCAUCACUGUUUUACAACUGAAGGAGGUAAGGACAGGAACUCGGGCAGGGGUGGGACCUUGAGGCAGGCGCUGAUGCAGAGGCCAUGGAGGGGUGCUGCUUACUGGCUUAUUCCUUGUGGGUUGCUUAGCAUGCUUUCUUAUAGAAUUGAGGACUACCAGUCUGGGACUGACACUAUCCGCAAUCGAUUGGCUGGGUAGUGGAUCAAUCACUGCCCCAUCCAUCACUAACUGAAAAAAAAAUGUCUUACCUUACUUACAGUGCAAUAUUAUGGAGGCAUUUUGUUGCUGGGAACCUGCCCAGCCUUGAAUGGGCUUGAAGAGGGACACAGUGUCAAACAUUGCUUUAAAGACUGAUGGUCUCUGGCCCUCUAGCUCUCUAACUAUACUGAGUGCUUGCUGAUAACUUCAAAAAGCUUAUAAAAACUUUCUUGCUUACUCUAUGGUUUAAAAACAUGGGCUUUUUUUCCCUCUUUAACUCUGUGCUCUCUUAAACAUUAUAGCUCUCUGUGCUUUAUUUAACUCUUUAUGCUUAAAUAAACAGUGGAGAAACUU